CUCACCAUGGUGUAGUUGGCUAUCACGUCCGGCUGUGAUUGCAACAAUUGUUUACCGAAAUGUCCCCGGCUCGAUUCCAGUUGGUGAGA
rnacentral:tRNA from 1 species